rnacentral:tRNA from 1 species
AGGGUUGUGGCUCAGUGGGAGGAGUGCUUGCCUAGCACACAUGAGGCCCUGGGUUCAAUCCUUAGCACCACUU